UCUCCCUUAGUUCAACCGUAAGAACAUCCAGUUUUGACCUGGCAAAUAGGUGUUAGAAUCACAAGAAAAAUC
rnacentral:tRNA from 1 species